UACGUAGGGGGCAAGCGUUGUCCGGAAUUAUUGGGCGUAAAGAGCGUGUAGGCGGUCCGGUAAGUCAGCUGUGAAAGUCAAGGGCUCAACCCUUGAAAGCCGGUUGAUACUGUCGGGCUAGAGUCCGGAAGAGGCGAGUGGAAUUCCCGGUGUAGCGGUGAAAUGUGUUGAUAUUGGAAGGAACGCCGGUGGCGAAAGCGGCACACUGGGUCUUAACUGACGCUGAUGCACGAAAGCCAGGGGAGCGAACGGG
rnacentral:rRNA from 1 species